rnacentral:rRNA from 1 species
UACGUAGGGUGCGAGCGUUGUCCGGAAUUAUUGGGCGUAAAGAGCUUGUAGGCGGUCUGUCGCGUCUGCUGUGAAAAUCCGGGGCUCAACCCCGGACUUGCAGUGGGUACGGGCAGACUAGAGUGUGGUAGGGGAGACUGGAAUUCCUGGUGUAGCGGUGAAAUGCGCAGAUAUCAGGAGGAACACCGGUGGCGAAGGCGGGUCUCUGGGCCGAUAUUGACGCUGAGGAGCGAAAGCGUGGGGAGCGAACAGG